UAACGCGUGAGUAACCUGCCCUGGAGUGGGGGACAACAGUUGGAAACGACUGCUAAUACCGCAUAAGCCCACGAUCCGGCAUCGGAUUGAGGGAAAAGGAUUUAUUCGCUUCAGGAUGGACUCGCGUCCAAUUAGCUAGUUGGUGAGGUAACGGCCCACCAAGGCGACGAUUGGUAGCCGGACUGAGAGGUUGAACGGCCACAUUGGGACUGAGACACGGUCCAAACUCCUACGGGAGGCAGCAGUGAGGAAUAUUGGUCAAUGGGCGAGAGCCUGAACCAGCCAAGUAGCGUGCAGGAUGACGGCCCUAUGGGUUGUAAACUGCUUUUAUAAGGGAAUAAAGUGAGUCUCGUGAGACUUUUUGCAUGUACCUUAUGAAUAAGGACCGGCUAAUUCCGUGCCAGCAGCCGCGGUAAUACGGAAGGUCCGGGCGUUAUCCGGAUUUAUUGGGUUUAAAGGGAGCGUAGGCCGGAGAUUAAGCGUGUUGUGAAAUGUAGACGCUCAACGUCUGCACUGCAGCGCGAACUGGUUUCCUUGA
rnacentral:rRNA from 1 species